UACGUAGGGUGCAAACAUUACCCGGAUUCACUGGGCGUAAAGAGUUCGUAGGCGGUUUUGUAAGUUGGAUAUUAAAGACCUCGGCUCAACCGAGGGAAAGUAUCCAAAACUGCAUAACUUGAGGCAUGCAAGGGAAGAUGGAACUUACGGUGUAGCAGUGAAAUGCGUAGAUAUCGUAAGGAACGCCAAUGGUGAAGACAGUCUUCUGGGCAUAGCCUGACGCUGAGGAACGAAAGCGUGGGGAG
rnacentral:rRNA from 1 species